UACCUACGGGAGGCAGCAGUAGGGAAUCUUCCGCAAUGGGCGAAAGCCUGACGGAGCAACGCCGCGUGAGUGAAGAAGGAUUUCGGUUCGUAAAGCUCUGUUGUUAGGGAAGAAUGGAUAUGUAGUAACUAUACAUGUACGAGACGGUACCUAACCAGAAAGCCACGGCUAACUACGUGCCAGCAGCCGCGGUAAUACGUAGGUGGCAAGCGUUGUCCGGAAUUAUUGGGCGUAAAGCGCGCGCAGGUGGUUUAAUAAGUCUGAUGUGAAAGCCCACGGCUCAACCGUGGAGGGUCAUUGGAAAC
rnacentral:rRNA from 1 species